UCGAGAUCCGGCACAUCGGCCUCAGGACAACCAAGUGUUGUCGCUGUUCUUCUUGCUGCUGCUACUGCUGCUGUUAAGAUUUGGUGCACUGCAUUGGCUUGGUUUGCAUAUAUUCUUCGGGGUGUGAUGGUGUCUGUAACUCAGUUUGUUCAUUCCGGUGGGUGGUUGCUUAUUUGUUCAUUCUUGCGUCCUCUGUCUGUCUGCUCCUGAUCACUCUUCUCCACUUCCCCUGAUCUGUAAUUUUUCCCCCGGCAUUUAGGGCGAAGGUUGUAGCUAAGGAUUUGUAACUCGGAUUGGUUGAGGUCGAGUGGUUCCAUUGCUUGGCUGGCUUUGUUCUAUCUUCUGGUCAAUCAAAUGCAAUGUUUUCUCCGUCCACUGUUCGUGCAUUGCCAGAUUUUUUUUUCUUGCAGCCGUAACAUGUAAGGUUCAUGUGUAGGAGUAGGUGCCUGCCUGCUUUACAUUGAUAAGCAGAUUUAUUACGGUGUCACAUGCAGGUCAGCUGCAGCUGGAGUGUGAAGCGAACAUGCAGGGAGGGCAUCUCAUUCCUUGCUGUUCCAUAACAGGAUAUUAAAACGCAGUGACAGCGAGGGGAGGUGCCUUCCUUUUGGUGCAAGGGAUAGGCAUGCAUGUUCCUCUGGGUCACGCGCAUGUGCGUGCCGGCUGUACCCGUAAGUACGUAUCCGCCGGUGCAAGUUACCUCGCCCCUGCCACUGCCACUGCCAGGGUUGGGUCUGGCGUACAUAGGCGGUAUCCGGCUGUGUUGGCAUGGUCGGUUCUUGCUUAUCGUCAGCUAGCCCGAGAGGGACCAACAGUUUGGACAAAUCCCACGCCACCAUGCCAACAAUGGAUUAUUGGAUUGAGACUCGUUCUUUUUUUUCUGUCCUCUGGGAGAUGGCUAGGUUUUCUACCAGGACUUACCAUGUCCUAGUAGAAGUGUUUUCGCAAAAAAGUAAAAUGUCCUAGUAACAGUAACACUUGCAUUUUUUCUGUUAAGUUUUCAGAUUGUUUGUGUUGGCCAUAUUUACUCGCGUUGUACACAGCUUGUUUGAAGAAAUCUCUCUUUUUAUUUAUUGGUAUGAAGUUGUUGUUUCAUAGAUAUAUCUAUAUGCAAUGAAAGUUUGAUGUACACAAAUAUGCAUGUCCUGGCCUUCUAUUCUUGUUCAGAGAUCAGCACACUCAUUGGACUGAAUUUUGAUAUUGCAUCUUUAAGCACUUCCUGGGAAUUACAUGCAACAGGUGUAUGUUCUAUAACAUCUAUACUUUAGUUGGAAAUGGCAGCUUCACUGAACUGCAUCAGUUGUAAGCUUCCCUAAAUUCGUACAUAUCUAAAAAGUAGGGCACUUCUACCUCCCUGUAGUAAUAAAGAAGUACACAGUAAAAUUCAUAGAUGAUUAAUAUUAUUUCGUUUGCAGGUUCAGCCAAUUCCUUUGAGGUAUUAACACUAGCCGAGCUUUUGGUGUCGUCUCUACUCAGGGAAAGGGUGUGAAGACUAUACAUGUCAAAUCCUCAUACGAAAUGUUGAUCUAUUGUGCUUCUAGAAUUAUAGAUUUUUGAAUAAUUAGAUGGUCAGUUAUGCAAUACAAUAUUCGCAUAGUAUUGAAAUCUUCUGUUCUGCAAAGUGUCCUUCAGCAAAUGGCGCUUGCACUUAAUAUGGGAUAGUCCAAAUCCAUAAGAGCAGGCUAUAUCUGAUAUUUUCUCCAUACAGCGACUUGAUUUAUAUUUUCCGCUACUUGUCAAUAUGAUGGCCCGAUGUAAAUAAAUGAGGCCUGGCCAUCACUUAUACUUGGGAACUACUUUUAAGUGACAGCUGUAUUGACUAAGGUACUAUUUUUUUCUUAAAGAUUGAUUUCUUAGUGCUGUGUGUUUUACUUUACAGUUUUGAUAAGAUUCCAUUGCCCAUACACUAAUUUAUUCUCCUUUUUUAUUUUGUUUUUAUUUUGUUGUUUCAUAUCUUUCUUUUGGUUUUCACACUACAUAUUUGGUAUCUGUCAAGAACAUAUUUUUAAUAAACGUCAAUUUUUUCAAUGUAAAUUAUGCAUUUAUGUAACACAUGGUCAACAUUUUCUCUAUACGUAGUUUUAACUUUUUUUAAUACAAGAUUAACCUUUUUUCCUACACACUUGUAACAUUUUUUAAUACAUGAUCAACAUUUUCUAUACAUAUUUUAAACACUUUUUAAGUGCUUGAUUAAUAGUUUUCAAUUAAAACUAUUAACAUUUUUUAAUACAUGAUCAACAUUUUCAAUACACAAUUAUCAUUUUCUAGACGCUUGAUUAACAUUUUUCAAACACUUGUUCAACAAUUUUUUUUAAAUACUUGUUCAACACUUUUAUGUACUUGAUCACAAAAUUUCAUCAUUAAUCUGAGACAUGGUAAACAUUCUUUCUAUACAGAUUUAACAUUUCUGAAAUGCUUGAUUAAAAUUUUCAAAUACUUGUUCAACAUUUUUUUUCAAAUACUUGAUCAACAUUUUUAUAUACAUGAUAAAACAUUCAUCAUUUUCUUAGUAAGUGAUCAACAUUUUUAGUAUACACUUUUAACAUUAUCCGAACACUUGUCCAACAUUUUUUCAAAUACUUGUUCAACAACUUUUUAAUAAUUAUUCAACAUUUUUCAAAUACCUUUUCAAUAUUUUAAAAUACUCGUUCAACAUUUUUCAAAUAUUUUUCAACAUUUCUCAAAUGCUUUUUCUAGCGAUUGUAAUAUAUAUUCAGAAUAUUUUAAAGUAUAAAUAAAACUACAAAAAUAAAGCGAAAAAUUGAAACAGGAAAAUGAAAUUGUUGCCUGCCGCGCGCGUGGGCUGGCCCAUCUCGGUCGCCCCUUCAGCCAGUCCGAAGACGAAAUCACUAAUUGAGGUGUACUCCUUCUAAAGAUCACUCCCUCUCCCUAGGUUGUGACAAGUGGCAUGCUACAUGUGCGCCACUUUUGUCGCAACCUGAAAGUUUUCCCUUUUUUCGUAGAUCCGCAUAUUCAAAACGUUUUAUUUUUUAAGCCGUGCGUGCAAAUCUCGAACCAUUUUUCACCGUUGGAGUCCUCGCGUCGAGAUCUUCAAAACUACAUACUAUGUUGAUAGAUUUUUGAGAAACUUUUUUCACGAAAAAAAUCGGAAGAGAAAAACGAUCUGGAAGCACUUUUUUUUCCCUUUUCGAAAGUCGUUUCCCAUGCCUCUCGCGGAAGCAAAACCUUGCCUCUCACAUAAAAAAAACAUGUUUUUUUGUUUUCGAGAAGCUCGGUCGUGCCUGUCACGGAAGCAAAUUCGUUCCUCUCGUGGAAGCAAAACCGUGCCUCUUACAAAAAAAAAA
rnacentral:lncRNA from 1 species